rnacentral:lncRNA from 8 species
AUGACCAUUUUGACCUUCCUCUUUCAUGUCUGUUUAAAAUCAGUGGCACAGAAUAUGAAGUACUACACAGUUGAGACUGGCAAUACUUUGGAUUCUCAUAUUCAGUUUAUGAGUCAAGUCAACAAGACCACAAGAUGUUUUACGGAAGUCGAGUUGCCAGUGGAGAGUGAUGUCAUCCUGGCUUUCUGUCCCAUCGUCUCCCGCGCCGGGACUAAUAUUGAAGCAGCACUGCAACAGAUUCCAACUGGUAAAAAUGUAAUUCUGGUAGUGCUGCAUCACAACUUCAACCCAGACUCCACUGUACCUGACAGCAGCAGACUAGUGACCAGAAGUGAUGUAAUACUCAGUGGACUGUCUGUUCCAUGAGAACCAGGGAGGACUACUGGACUGUCCUCGCAAUGAUGCAGCAGUCAAACAGAUUAGGCAGAAGCUUGACAUGGUAUGAUGUCAAUUAAUCAUAAUUUUGAAUACAGCAUCUCUGUAUUUGAUGUACUCAUUGUUCCUCUCCUUUUUUUACAGACAAGAAAUCGUGGCUGUGUAGCUAGGAGACGAAACUUAGUAAUGGUAUGUCAAAUCAUUGCAAAUGAUAAAAGUAACUAUAUGUAACAUCUGUCUUCAGAAAUGGACCAAGGCGCAGCGGGAAUGUGGAUACUCAUAGUUUAAUAAACUUAAGUAAAGCAUCCACAGGCAAAAACAAUACUCACGACGACAGGAACAGUCUUACAGGCACACAAAACGCAAUGCAAGAACAACUACCCACAACCCCAAAGAAUAUAUAGGACUCCCAAUCAAAGGCAACUCAACACACCUGCCUUCAAUUGGGAGUCCAAUCACCAACACAACCAUUCACACACACAAAAAACCCUGCCACAUCCUGACCAAAACUAACACCAUUACGCCCUCUGCUGGUCAGGACGUGACAGUACCCCCCCCUCAAGGUGCAGACCCCGGAAUGCACCUAAAAGAAAAAACAAACCCCCAAACAACAAAAAAUAUCCCCCUAAACAAUAAGGGAGGCACUGUGCUACGCCCUCCCUCCCCAACCCACCUCUCCUGGAGGUGGCUCAGGUGCAGGACGUGGACCUCGCUCCACUUCGGUGGCACCGAUACCUGCGCCGGGCAGACGGGCCACUCGGGCUGACCCUGGCAGACGGACCACUCGGGCUGGGCCGGAGGACAGGCGGGCCACUCGGGCUGGGCCGGAGGACAGGCCGGCCACUCGGGCUGGGCCGGAGGACAGGCGGGCCACCCUUGCAGACCCGGGCAGGCGGGCACCUCUGGCAGCUCCGGGCGGUCGGGCCGCUUUGGCCGCUCCGGGCGGUCGGGCCGCUCUGGCCGCUCCGGGCGGGCGGGCGGCUCUGGCGACUCUUGACUGGCGGGCGGCCCUGGCGACUCUUGACUGGCGGGCGGCCCUGGCGACUCUUGACUGGCGAGGCUGGGCUGACACACUAGACGCCUGAUGCGUGGGGCUGGUACUGGACGUGCCAGCCUGGAGACACGCACCUCCAUGCUAGUGCGUAUAGCGGGAAACACCGGACCGUCG